CCUACGGGGGGCAGCAGUAAGGAAUAUUGGUCAAUGGACGAAAGUCUGAACCAGCCAUCCCGCGUGCAGGAUGAAAGCCCUAUGGGUUGUAAACUGCUUUUAGCAGAGAAGAAAAGCUUCCAUUUAUGGGGGUCUGACGGUAUCUGCAGAAUAAGCACCGGCUAACUCCGUGCCAGCAGCCGCGGUAAUCCGGAGGGUGCGAGCGUUAUCCGGAUUUACGGGGGUUAAAGGGUGCGUUGAAGUAGGUUUUGAAAUCUUGUCGCUUAACGAUAAAAUGGCCAAUGAUACUGGUACUCUUGAAUUGGGUUGAGGUUAGCGGAAUGUGACAUGUAGCGGUGAAAUGCAUAGAUAUGUCAUGGAACACCAAUUGCGAAGGCAGCUAACUGGGCCUUGAGUGACGCUGAGGCACGAAAGCGUGGGUAGCGAACAGGAUUAGAUACCCUGGUAGUC
rnacentral:rRNA from 1 species